rnacentral:rRNA from 1 species
CCAAUACUGAUUCGGUGAGGUAGUGACAAGAAAUACCAAUAUAGGACCCAACGGGUACUAUGUUUGGAAUGAGUACAAUUUAAAACCUUAACGAGGAACAAUUGGAGGGCAAGUCUGGUGCCAGCAGCCGCGGUAAUUCCAGCUCCAAUAGUGUAUAUUAAAGUUGCUGCGGUUAAAAAGCUCGUAGUUGGAUUUCGGAGUUGUUAUCUGAACCUUCUCGCCCUAAAAAGUGGGGGGCUAAGGUAGCAGUAGUUUUCAUCAUAGUCCAUCAGGAUACUCUCUUGAUGUGUACUGGGUGUUAACCUCCUUUUUUUCUGGUACUUGCUAUCCAGCAAUGGGUUAGUUUUGUCCAGAUAGUUUACUUUGUAAAAAUUAAGUAGUGUUCAAAGACAGGCAUAAUUGGCAUCAUGAAUACAUUAGCAUGGGAUAAUAGAAUAUGACAUUGGUUCUUAUUUUGUUGGUUUCUAAGG